rfam:Lonchura striata domestica isolate white83orange57 scaffold_2507, whole genome shotgun sequence.
GCUCCAGUGGCGCAAUCGGUCAGCGCGCGGUACUUAUAGGGCGGUACACGAGCGAUGCCGAGGUUGUGAGUUCGAGCCUCACCUGGAGCA